AGUGAACGCUGGCGGUAGGCCUAACACAUGCAAGUCGAACGGCAGCACAGUAAGAGCUUGCUCUUACGGGUGGCGAGUGGCGGACGGGUGAGGAAUACAUCGGAAUCUACUUUUUCGUGGGGGAUAACGUAGGGAAACUUACGCUAAUACCGCAUACGACCUACGGGUGAAAGCAGGGGAUCUUCGGACCUUGCGCGAUUGAAUGAGCCGAUGUCGGAUUAGCUAGUUGGCGGGGUAAAGGCCCACCAAGGCAACGAUCCGUAGCUGGUCUGAGAGGAUGAUCAGCCACACUAGAACUGAGACACGGUCCAGACUCCUACGGGAGGCAGCAGUGGGGAAUAUUGGACAAUGGGCGCAAGCCUGAUCCAGCCAUACCGCGUGGGUGAAGAAGGCCUUCGGGUUGUAAAGCCCUUUUGUUGGGAAAGAAAAGCAGCAGGUUAAUACCCCGCUGUUCUGACGGUACCCAAAGAAUAAGCACCGGCUAACUUCGUG
rnacentral:rRNA from 1 species